rnacentral:rRNA from 1 species
GAGGAUGACCAGCCACACUGGAACUGAGACACGGUCCAGACUCCUACGGGAGGCAGCAGUGGGGAAUAUUGCGCAAUGGGCGCAAGCCUGAUGCAGCCAUGCCGCGUGUAUGAAGAAGGCCUUCGGGUUGUAAAGUACUUUCAGCGGGGAGGAAGGGAGUAAAGUUAAUACCUUUGCUCAUUGACGUUACCCGCAGAAGAAGCACCGGCUAACUCCGUGCCAGCAGCCGCGGUAAUACGGAGGGUGCAAGCGUUAAUCGGAAUUACUGGGCGUAAAGCGCACGCAGGCGGUUUGUUAAGUCAGAUGUGAAAUCCCCGGGCUCAACCUGGGAACCGCAUCUGAUACUGGCAAGCUUGAGUCUCGUAGAGGGGGGUAGAAUUCCAGGUGUAGCGGUGAAAUGCGUAGAGAUCUGGAGGAAUACCGGUGGCGAAGGCGGCCCCCUGGACGAAGACUGACGCUCAGGUGCGAAAGCGUGGGGGGCAAACAGGAUUAGAUACCCUGGUAGUCCACGCCGUAAACGAUGUCGACUUGGAGGUUGUGCCCUUGAGGCGUGGCUUCCGGAGCUAACGCGUUAAGUCGACCGCCUGGGGAGUACGGCCGCAAGGUUAAAACUCAAAUGAAUUGACGGGGGCCCGCACAAGCGGUGGAGCAUGUGGUUUAAUUCGAUGCAACGCGAAGAACCUUACCUGGUCUUGACAUCCACGGAAGUUUUCAGAGAUGAGAAUGUGCCUUCGGGAACCGUGAGACAGGUGCUGCAUGGCUGUCGUCAGCUCGUGUUGUGAAAUGUUGGGUUAAGUCCCGCAACGAGCGCAACCCUUAUCCUUUGUUGCCAGCGGUCCGGCCGGGAACUCAAAGGAGACUGCCAGUGAUAAACUGGAGGAAGGUGGGGAUGACGUCAAGUCAUCAUGGCCCUUACGACCAGGGCUACACACGUGCUACAAUGGCGCAUACAAAGAGAAGCGACCUCGCGAGAGCAAGCGGACCUCAUAAAGUGCGUCGUAGUCCGGAUUGGAGUCUGCAACUCGACUCCAUGAAGUCGGAAUCGCUAGUAAUCGUGGAUCAGAAUGCCACGGUGAAUACGUUCCCGGGCCUUGUACACACCGCCCUCACACCAUGGGAGUGGGUUGCAAAAGAAGUAGGUAGCUUAACCUUCGGGAGGGCGCUUACCACUUUGUGAUUCAUGACUGGGGUGAAGUCGUAACAAGGUA